CCUACGGGGGGCAGCAGUGGGGAAUAUUGGACAAUGGGCGAAAGCCUGAUCCAGUCAUGCCGCGUGUGUGAAGAAGGCCUUCGGGUUGUAAAGCACUUUCAGUGGGGAAGAAAGCCUUGGGGCUAAUACCCUCGAGGAAGGACAUCACCCACAGAAGAAGCACCGGCUAACUCCGUGCCAGCAGCCGCGGUAAUACGGAGGGUGCGAGCGUUAAUCGGAAUUACUGGGCGUAAAGCGCGCGUAGGCGGUCUGAUAAGCCGGUUGUGAAAGCCCCGGGCUCAACCUGGGAACGGCAUCCGGAACUGUCAGGCUAGAGUGCAGGAGAGGAAGGUAGAAUUCCCGGUGUAGCGGUGAAAUGCGUAGAGAUCGGGAGGAAUACCAGUGGCGAAGGCGGCCUUCUGGACUGACACUGACGCUGAGGUGCGAAAGCGUGGGUAGCAAACAGGAUUAGAUACCCGGGUAGUC
rnacentral:rRNA from 1 species